rnacentral:lncRNA from 1 species
UCACAUUGAUAACAACAUGCAGUGGUUCACACUACUCGCUGUUUUAGUGGCUCUACUGUGCGCCGUGAUGGCGCAACAGCCUCAGGACAGAUCUCCGGACUUCACCGACAAAUACGCAGAGCUGGCAUCCCCGGUACCUGCCAAUGUCAACCUCGACGAACUGGUUGCUACCCUGCGAGCCGCCGGCAGUCACCAAUAAGCUGCACCCUCCAACCCCUAUUUUAUUUUCUCUAUAACUAAACAGAAAACACUGAAGGGCGUCUUGAACUUAACGAUGACAGAUAUGGAGACGAUACCUUUGUAUAAGCUAAUAUAAUUAGCAAAGUUUAAUAAUAAUGCAUAAAAUUAUGAUGGAAAUUUUAACACUAAAUUCUUGAUGAAAAGUUAAUUGGGCCUUGAGACAAGAUGAAGGACUUAUAAAGUCAUACUAUUUAGGUCCCCAAAAUAUACAUAGAAUAAAUUUGUAGGUAGGGUUUCCUAAAAUGGUGUUUUCCACGAAGAUAAUAUUGACAGAUUAUGACUAACGAUGUCUAUGUCUUAUUGAAACCUAGUAAAGACGGAUGUCGUGUAAAGGAGCCAUUACUUGGUAGCUGAAGUUGAUAACAUUUUUUUUUACUAUUUUUUGUAACUAUCAAAACCUGAAAAUCCGAGAUUAAAUAAAUAAAAUAGAGCAGGAAUCGAAGUCCUAGUAAAACUAGACUUUACCUUAAGUUUUUGACAAUAUUCUUCUUACCUUUACUUUAAGGCCAACCAUAGCAUUGCUAUCAAUAUUUUGAUUUUUUGGAUAUAAAUUGAAUUAGUUGUAGAGUAAAUAAUAUGGAUUGAGUGGUCAAUCUUGGCAUACCCACUGAAAAUGGUAGAGUAAGUUGUUUGCGCCUAGUAACUAUAUCCCACUAAUUAUAGAAAAUUAUUUAUAGAUCAAAAGUGAUAUUAUGUAAUAAUUGAAUUUUUGCGUGUUUUUGGUUGUUAAUAAAUUGUAGAAGCGUGCUGUUGUCCAUAAA